AUGGACAGGCACACCGGGGGCUCGUCAGCAGCAGGCGACUCCACCAUGGACCUACGUCACCAAUCCGUGGACGGGCAUCGUUCACGCAUACUCGAUGCCGGUUCCCCGGCCUCCUGCCCCAGGCAUCCUUGGGCUUCGUCCGACGAGCCAUCAGGUGUACUUUGUCGCGCCCGGCGCCGACCCUACCCGGUGCUCCCUUCAUCGCCGAGCUAUGGUGUCACCCGCGUGCCUUCCUAUGGCGGGUACUACCCGCCCCGGGUGUGGGCGUCGUGGGAUCCCGCCCUGCUCGCCGCUCUACACUCGGCUCUGUCACCUAGCAACUAUGGUGGUGGCGGUGACUGGUACAUGGACUCGGGCGCCACUGCUCACAUGACAUCUCAUCCCGGUAACCUCACGUCAUCCACUCCCGUUCAUACUCCCACUCGCAUCACCGUUGGUAACAGUUCCUCUUUAUCCAUUACACAUGUCGGUCAUAUGCUGUUUCCUUCCACUUCUACUCCUAUAAACAUGUCUAACGUUCUCAUCUCUCCUGACUUAGUUACCAACCUUGUCUCUGUUCGUCGCAUUGCUCGUGAGAACCCUAUUACUGUUCAAUUUGACGAUGUUGGCUUUUCUGUGAAGAACGCCCGUACAUGGAUGGUACUCCACCGAUGUGAUAGCCCUAACAAGCUCUACCCGGUGCAUCCUUUCGCCGCCACCACCACCCAUCCAGCCGCCCUUGCCGCUAGCGUCGAUCUUUGGUACGCCCAUCUCGGUCAUCCCAACUCCACAAUUUUUGCAUCAGAUUCUAUAGAGUUUUCCUUCUCAUGUAAUAAGGUUGACAACCACACUUGUGAGGCCUGCCGUCUCGGUAAGCACGUUCGUCUUCUCUUUAGCGAGUCUACAAACAUUUCCACUUUUCCGCUUCAGUUAUUGCAUAGUGAUGUUUGGACGUCCCCGGCUACAAGCAACACGGGUUACAUAUACUAUUUUGGUGAUAUUGGAUGA
rnacentral:rRNA from 1 species